rnacentral:rRNA from 1 species
CCUACGGGUGGCAGCAGUGGGGAAUAUUGCACAAUGGGGGAAACCCUGAUGCAGCGACGCCGCGUGAGUGAGGAAGUAUUUCGGUAUGUAAAGCUCUAUCAGCAGGGAAGAAAAUGACGGUACCUGACUAAGAAGCCCCGGCUAACUACGUGCCAGCAGCCGCGGUAAUACGAAGGGGGCAAGCGUUAUCCGGAUUUACUGGGUGUAAAGGGAGCGUAGACGGAUAAGCAAGUCUGAUGUGAAAAUCCGGGGCUCAACCCCGGAAUUGCAUUGGAAACUGCAGAUCUAGAGUGUCGGAGAGGCAAGUGGAAUGCCUGGUGUAGCGGUGAAAUGCGUAGAGAUCAGGAGGAACACCAGUGGCGAAGGCGGCUUGCUGGACGAUGACUGACGUUGAGGCUCGAAAGCGUGGGGAGCAAACAGGAUUAGAUACCCGGGUAGUC